GAUGAAGAACGCAGCGAAAUGCGAUAAGUAGUGUGAAUUGCAGAAUUCAGUGAAUCAUCGAAUCUUUGAACGCACAUUGCGCCCCUUGGUAUUCCAUGGGGCAUGCCUGUUCGAGCGUCAUUUGUACCUUCAAGCUCUGCUUGGUGUUGGGUGUUUGUCUCGCCUCUGCGUAUAGACUCGCCUCAAAACAAUUGGCAGCCGGCGUAUUGAUUUCGGAGCGCAGUACAUCUCGCGCUUUGCACUCAUAACGACGACGUCCAAAAGUACAUUUUUACACUCUUGACCUCGGAUCAGGUAGGGAUACCCGCUGAACUUAAGCAUAUCAAUAAGCGGAGGA
rnacentral:misc_RNA from 1 species